UGGGGAAUAUUGCACAAUGGGCGCAAGCCUGAUGCAGCCAUGCCGCGUGUAUGAAGAAGGCCUUCGGGUUGUAAAGUACUUUCAGUCGGGAGGAAGGUGGUAAGGUUAAUAACCUUAUCAAUUGACGUUACCGACAGAAGAAGCACCGGCUAACUCCGUGCCAGCAGCCGCGGUAAUACGGAGGGUGCAAGCGUUAAUCGGAAUUACUGGGCGUAAAGCGCACGCAGGCGGUUGAUUGAGUCAGAUGUGAAAUCCCCGGGCUUAACCCGGGAAUUGCAUCUGAUACUGGUCAGCUAGAGUCUUGUAGAGGGGGGUAGAAGUCCAUGUGUAGCGGUGAAAUGCGUAGAGAUGUGGAGGAAUACCGGUGGCGGAGGCGGCCCCCUGGACAAAGACUGACGCUCAGGUGCGAAAGCGUGGGGAGCAAACAGG
rnacentral:rRNA from 1 species